UCAGGAUGAACGCUAGCUACAGGCUUAACACAUGCAAGUCGAGGGGAAACGACAUCGAAAGCUUGCUUUUGAUGGGCGUCGACCGGCGCACGGGUGAGUAACGCGUAUCCAACCUGCCCACCACUUGGGAAUAACCUUGCGAAAGUAAGACUAAUACCCAAUGAUAUCCCUAGAAGGCAUCAGAAAGAGAUUAAAGAUUUAUCGGUGAUGGAUGGGGAUGCGUCUGAUUAGCUUGUUGGCGGGGUAACGGCCCACCAAGGCUACGAUCAGUAGGGGUUCUGAGAGGAAGGUCCCCCACAUUGGAACUGAGACACGGUCCAAACUCCUACGGGAGGCAGCAGUGAGGAAUAUUGGUCAAUGGACGAGAGUCUGAACCAGCCAAGUAGCGUGCAGGAUGACGGCCCUAUGGGUUGUAAACUGCUUUUAUAAGGGAAUAAAGUGAGUCUCGUGAGACUUUUUGCAUGUACCUUAUGAAUAAGGACCGGCUAAUUCCGUGCCAGCAGCCGCGGUAAUACGGAAGGUCCGGGCGUUAUCCGGAUUUAUUGGGUUUAAAGGGAGCGUAGGCCGGAGAUUAAGCGUGUUGUGAAAUGUAGAUGCUCAACAUCUGCACUGCAGCGCGAACUGGUUUCCUUGAGUACGCACAAAGUGGGCGGAAUUCGUGGUGUAGCGGUGAAAUGCUUAGAUAUCACGAAGAACUCCGAUUGCGAAGGCAGCUCACUGGAGCGCAACUGACGCUGAAGCUCGAAAGUGCGGGUAUCGAACAGGAUUAGAUACCCUGGUAGUCCGCACGGUAAACGAUGGAUGCCCGCUGUUGGUCUGAAUAGGUCAGCGGCCAAGCGAAAGCAUUAAGCAUCCCACCUGGGGAGUACGCCGGCAACGGUGAAACUCAAAGGAAUUGACGGA
rnacentral:rRNA from 1 species